rnacentral:rRNA from 1 species
UACGAGAGCCUCAAGCGUUAUCCGGAAUUACUGGGCGUAAAGGGUGCGUAGGUGGUGAUGUUAGUCGUCCGUGAAAGCCUGGAGCUUAACUUCAGAUCCGCGAACGAAACGGCAUUACUUGAGAGUGUGAGGGGUCUCUGGAACUCAUGGUGUAGGGGUGAAAUCCGUUGAUAUCAUGGGGAGCACCAAAAGCGAAGGCAAGAGACUGGCACAUAUCUGACACUGAAGCACGAAAGCGUGGGUAGCGAAUGGG